rnacentral:rRNA from 1 species
GGGUUGUGAGGUUAAGCGACUAAGCGUACACGGUGGAUGCCCUGGCAGUCAGAGGCGAUGAAGGACGUGCUAAUCUGCGAUAAGCGUCGGUAAGGUGAUAUGAACCGUUAUAACCGGCGAUUUCCGAAUGGGGAAACCCAGUGUGUUUCGACACACUAUCAUUAACUGAAUCCAUAGGUUAAUGAGGCGAACCGGGGGAACUGAAACAUCUAAGUACCCCGAGGAAAAGAAAUCAACCGAGAUUCCCCCAGUAGCGGCGAGCGAACGGGGAGCAGCCCAGAGCCUGAAUCAGUAUGUGUGUUAGUGGAAGCGUCUGGAAAGGCGCGCGAUACAGGGUGACAGCCCCGUACACAAAAAUGCACAUAUUGUGAGCUCGAUGAGUAGGGCGGGACACGUGGUAUCCUGUCUGAAUAUGGGGGGACCAUCCUCCAAGGCUAAAUACUCCUGACUGACCGAUAGUGAACCAGUACCGUGAGGGAAAGGCGAAAAGAACCCCGGCGAGGGGAGUGAAAAAGAACCUGAAACCGUGUACGUACAAGCAGUGGGAGCACGCUUAGGCGUGUGACUGCGUACCUUUUGUAUAAUGGGUCAGCGACUUAUAUUCUGUAGCAAGGUUAACCGAAUAGGGGAGCCGAAGGGAAACCGAGUCUUAACUGGGCGUUAAGUUGCAGGGUAUAGACCCGAAACCCGGUGAUCUAGCCAUGGGCAGGUUGAAGGUUGGGUAACACUAACUGGAGGACCGAACCGACUAAUGUUGAAAAAUUAGCGGAUGACUUGUGGCUGGGGGUGAAAGGCCAAUCAAACCGGGAGAUAGCUGGUUCUCCCCGAAAGCUAUUUAGGUAGCGCCUCGUGAAUUCAUCUCCGGGGGUAGAGCACUGUUUCGGCAAGGGGGUCAUCCCGACUUACCAACCCGAUGCAAACUGCGAAUACCGGAGAAUGUUAUCACGGGAGACACACGGCGGGUGCUAACGUCCGUCGUGAAGAGGGAAACAACCCAGACCGCCAGCUAAGGUCCCAAAGUCAUGGUUAAGUGGGAAACGAUGUGGGAAGGCCCAGACAGCCAGGAUGUUGGCUUAGAAGCAGCCAUCAUUUAAAGAAAGCGUAAUAGCUCACUGGUCGAGUCGGCCUGCGCGGAAGAUGUAACGGGGCUAAACCAUGCACCGAAGCUGCGGCAGCGACACUAUGUGUUGUUGGGUAGGGGAGCGUUCUGUAAGCCUGUGAAGGUGUGCUGUGAGGCAUGCUGGAGGUAUCAGAAGUGCGAAUGCUGACAUAAGUAACGAUAAAGCGGGUGAAAAGCCCGCUCGCCGGAAGACCAAGGGUUCCUGUCCAACGUUAAUCGGGGCAGGGUGAGUCGACCCCUAAGGCGAGGCCGAAAGGCGUAGUCGAUGGGAAACAGGUUAAUAUUCCUGUACUUGGUGUUACUGCGAAGGGGGGACGGAGAAGGCUAUGUUGGCCGGGCGACGGUUGUCCCGGUUUAAGCGUGUAGGCUGGUUUUCCAGGCAAAUCCGGAAAAUCAAGGCUGAGGCGUGAUGACGAGGCACUACGGUGCUGAAGCAACAAAUGCCCUGCUUCCAGGAAAAGCCUCUAAGCAUCAGGUAACAUCAAAUCGUACCCCAAACCGACACAGGUGGUCAGGUAGAGAAUACCAAGGCGCUUGAGAGAACUCGGGUGAAGGAACUAGGCAAAAUGGUGCCGUAACUUCGGGAGAAGGCACGCUGAUAUGUAGGUGAAGUCCCUCGCGGAUGGAGCUGAAAUCAGUCGAAGAUACCAGCUGGCUGCAACUGUUUAUUAAAAACACAGCACUGUGCAAACACGAAAGUGGACGUAUACGGUGUGACGCCUGCCCGGUGCCGGAAGGUUAAUUGAUGGGGUUAGCCGCAAGGCGAAGCUCUUGAUCGAAGCCCCGGUAAACGGCGGCCGUAACUAUAACGGUCCUAAGGUAGCGAAAUUCCUUGUCGGGUAAGUUCCGACCUGCACGAAUGGCGUAAUGAUGGCCAGGCUGUCUCCACCCGAGACUCAGUGAAAUUGAACUCGCUGUGAAGAUGCAGUGUACCCGCGGCAAGACGGAAAGACCCCGUGAACCUUUACUAUAGCUUGACACUGAACAUUGAGCCUUGAUGUGUAGGAUAGGUGGGAGGCUU